UGGAUCCAGACUUUGAUCAUGGCUCAGGACGAACGCUGGCGGCGUGCUUAACACACGCAAGUCGAACGGGGUGUUUAUUUCGGUAAACACCAAGUGGCGAACGGGUGAGUAACGCGUAAGCAAUCUACCUUCAAGAUGGGGACAACACUUCGAAAGGGGUGCUAAUACCGAAUGAAUGUAAGAGUAUCGCAUGAGACACUUACUAAAGGAGGCCUCUGAAAAUGCUUCCGCUUGAAGAUGAGCUUGCGUCUGAUUAGCCAGUUGGUGAGGGUAAAGGCCCACCAAGGCGACGAUCAGUAGCCGGUCUGAGAGGAUGAACGGCCACAUUGGGACUGAGACACGGCCCAGACUCCUACGGGAGGCAGCAGUGGGGAAUCUUCCGCAAUGGGCGAAAGCCUGACGGAGCAACGCCGCGUGAACGAUGAAGGUCUUAGGAUCGUAAAGUUCCGUUGUUAGGGACGAAGGAUAAGGAUUAUAAUACAGUCUUUGUUCGACGGUACCUAACGAGGAAGCCACGGCUAACUACGUGCCAGCAGCCGCGGUAAUACGUAGGCGGCAAGCGUUGUCCGGAAUUAUUGGGCGUAAAGGGAGCGCAGGCGGGAAACUAAGCGGAUCUUAAAAGUGCGGGGCUCAACCCCGUGAUGGGGUCCGAACUGGUUUUCUUGAGUGCAGGAGAGGAAAGCGGAAUUCCCAGUGUAGCGGUGAAAUGCGUAGAUAUUGGGAAGAACACCAGUGGCGAAGGCGGCUUUCUGGACUGUAACUGACGCUGAGGCUCGAAAGCUAGGGUAGCGAACGGGAUUAGAUACCCCGGUAGUCCUAGCCGUAAACGAUGGAUACUAGGUGUGGGAGGUAUCGACUCCUUCCGUGCCGGAGUUAACGCAAUAAGUAUCCCGCCUGGGGAGUACGGCCGCAAGG
rnacentral:rRNA from 1 species